UUGGUCUCAGCGUAACGUUCGGUCUUCUGUUCCUAGCUGCCGCGGCUGGCGGUAUAUUCUAUUACGUCAGGAUUUACUCAAAGAAAAAUCAAAAGCUUAUCAGCAAUGAAAUGACGCCUGGUAUGUCCAACCCUUCAUAUGAACAUAAUACAGUGGGUACUUCCAGCUUGGAAACGCAAGAGGCGGAGGCUUAAAUUAUACUAUAGUCGUUGGACUCAUCACAAGCAGGUCUUAAACUUAAAAACAACAGAUAAACAAUUAUUGUUUGCUUAUUAUGUCAGUUUACAGUGUUUAAUUAUACUAGUAAUAACUGAUUUUCUUUUCUUGUUCUUUACUUAUUUCCUUGUACUUGACGUUUUCAAUCUCUUCAUUUGUGAUAAUUUCCGCAAAUCGGUUUUUUUUACCCGCGAUGGGUUUAUCUUACAAUGUUUUUGUAUAUUAUCAUCUGUAUUCGCAUGUAAUAAUAAACUUUUUAAUGAAUUGA